rnacentral:rRNA from 1 species
AACGCGAAGAACCUUACCCAGAUUUGAAAUACAGAGGACAGUCUCAGAAAUGAGAUCUCCCGCAAGGGUCUUUGUACAGGUGCUGCAUGGCUGUCGUCAGCUCGUGCCGUGAGGUGUUGGGUUAAGUCCCGCAACGAGCGCAACCCUUAUCAUUAGUUGCCAGCACGUUAAGGUGGGAACUCUAAUGAGACUGCCCGGGUUAACCGGGAGGAAGGUGAGGAUGACGUCAAGUCCGCAUGGCCUUUAUAUCUGGGGCUACACACGUGCUACAAUGGUCGGUACAGAAGGCAGCAAGACCGCAAGGUGGAGCAAAUCCGUAAAGCCGAUCUCAGUUCGGAUUGUAGUCUGCAACUCGACUACAUGAAGUUGGAAUUGCUAGUAAUGACGUGUCAGCAACAACGUCGUGAAUACGUUCCCGGGCCUUGUACACACCGACGCGUA